UUCCGGUUGAUCCGCCGGACCUGACUGCUAUCGGAUUGAUACUAAGCCAUGCGAGUCAUUGUAGCAAUACAAGGCAGACGGCUCAGUAACGCGUAGUCAACCUACCCUAUGGACGGGAAUAACCUCGGGAAACUGAGUAUAAUGCCCGAUAGAACACUAUACCUGGAAUGGUUUGUGUUUCAAAUGAUUUAUUGCCGUAGGAUGGGACUGCGGCCUAUCAGUUUGUUGGUGAGGUAAUGGCCCACCAAGACUAUUACAGGUACGGGCUCUGAGAGGAGUGGCCCGGAGAUGGGUACUGAGACACGGACCCAGGCCCUAUGGGGCGCAGCAGGCGAGAAAACUUUGCAAUGUGCGAAAGCACGACAAGGUUAAUCCGAGUGGUUUCUGCUAAAGGAACCUUUUGACAGUCCUAGAAACACUGUUGAAUAAGGGGUGGGCAAGUUCUGGUGUCAGCCGCCGCGGUAAAACCAGCACCUCAAGUGGUCAGGAUGAUUAUUGGGCCUAAAGCAUCCGUAGCCGGCUCAGUAAGUUUUCGGUUAAAUCUGUACGCUCAACGUACGGGCUGCCGGGAAUACUGCAGAGCUAGGGAGUGGGAGAGGUAGACGGUACUCGGGAGGAAGUGGUAAAUGCUUUGAUCUUU
rnacentral:rRNA from 1 species